rnacentral:rRNA from 1 species
AGGUACAGCCAUAGCUCCCUGAACGCACCUGAUCUUGUCUGAUCUCAGAAGCUAAGCAGGGUCUGGCCUGGUUAGUACUUGGAUGGGAGGCUGCAUGGGAAUACCAGGUGUUGUAGGCU